rnacentral:rRNA from 1 species
AUUGAACGCUGGCGGCAUGCUUUACACAUGCAAGUCGAACGGUAACAGGCCGCAAGGUGCUGACGAGUGGCGAACGGGUGAGUAAUGCAUCGGAACGUGCCCAGUCGUGGGGAAUAACGCAGCGAAAGCUGCGCUAGUACCGCAUACGAUCUAUGGAUGAAAGCGGGGGACCGAAAGGCCUCGCGCGAUUGGAGCGGCCGAUGUCAGAUUAGGUAGUUGGUGGGGUAAAAACUCACCAAGCCAACGAUCUGUAGCUGGUCUGAGAGGACGACCAGCCACACUGGGACUGAGAGACGGCCCAGACUCCUACGGGAGGCAGCAGUGGGGAAUUUUGGACAAUGGGCGCAAGCCUGAUUCAGCAAUGCCGCGUGCAGGAAGAAGGCCUUCGGGUUGUAAACUGCUUUUGUACGGAACGAAACGGUCCGGGUUAAUACCCUGGGCUAAUGACGGUACCGUAAGAAUAAGCACCGGCUAACUACGUGCCAGCCGCCGCCGUAAUAC